GCUAUCAGAUGAGCCUAGGUCGGAUUAGCUAGUUGGUGAGGUAAUGGCUCACCAAGGCGACGAUCCGUAACUGGUCUGAGAGGAUGAUCAGUCACACUGGAACUGAGACACGGUCCAGACUCCUACGGGAGGCAGCAGUGGGGAAUAUUGGACAAUGGGCGAAAGCCUGAUCCAGCCAUGCAGCGUCUGUGAAGAAGGUCUUCGGAUUGUAAACCUCUUUAAGUUGGGAGGAAGGGCAUUUACCUAAUACGUAAGUGUUUUGACGUUACCGACAGAAUAAGCACCGGCUAACUCUGUGCCAGCAGCCGCGGUAAUACAGAGGGUGCAAGCGUUAAUCGGAAUUACUGGGCGUAAAGCGCGCGUAGGUUGUUCGUUAAGUUGGAUGUGAAAUCCCCGGGGCUCAACCUGGGAACUGCAUUCAAGUCUGUCGAGCUAGAGUAUGGUAGAGGGUGGUGGAAUUUCCUGUGUAGCGGUGAAAUGCGUAGAUAUAGGAAGGAACACCAGUGGCGAAGGCGACCACCUGGACUGAUACUGACACUGAGGUGCGAAUGCGUGGGGAGCAAACAGGAUUAGAUACCCUGGUAGUCCACGCCGUAAACGAUGUCAACUAGCCGUUGGGAGCCUUGAGCUCUUAGUGGCGCAGCUAACGCAUUAAGUUGACCGCCUGGGGAGUACGGCCGCAAGGUUAAAACUCAAAUGAAUUGACGGGGGCCCGCACAAGCGGUGGAGCAUGUGGUUUAAUUCGAAGCAACGGGAAGAACCUUACCAGGCCUUGACAUCGAAUGAACUUUCCAGAGAUGGAUUGGUGCCUUCGGGAACAUUGAGACAGGUGCUGCAUGG
rnacentral:rRNA from 1 species